AAACAGCCCCCUAUGUUUUGAUUCUUUGGCAGUUUUGGACUCCCCAAGACAAAAAAAAAAAAAAUUGACACGUGGCACCUCACUUAGGGUGCCACGUCAGCGUUGACCGAGUCAACAAUGGAUUAGGGGUCCAAAACUGCCAAAGAAUCAAAACAUAGGGGGUUGUUU
rfam:Medicago truncatula strain A17 chromosome 3, whole genome shotgun sequence.